rnacentral:ncRNA from 1 species
GUGAGAAUGCCCAAUAGUCCCCCUCCCUGGGACAAGGAGCAGGUAUCAGGCACACCACAGUAGCCCACCACACCUUGCUUAGCCACACCCCUAAGGGAUUACAGCAGUGAUAAACAUUAAGCCAUGAGCGAAAGCUUGACUUAGUUAAGGCUUAUUAAGGGCCGGUAAAACUCGUGCCAGCCACCGCGGUUAUACGAGGGGCCCAAGAUGACAGACCCUCGGCGUAAAGGGUGGUUAAAACUUAUCUUAACUAAAGCCAAACUAUUUCAAAGCUGUCAUACGCUCUUGAAAAUAGGAAUGCCUUCCACGAAAGUGGCUUUAUUUUUUGAACCCACGAAAGCUAAGACACAAACUGGGAUUAGAUACCCCACUAUGCUCAGCCUUAAACAUAGAUGCCACAUUUACAUUAAUCAUCCGCCUGGGAACUACGAGCACUAGCUUGAAACCCAAAGGACUUGGCGGUGCUUAAUAACCCCCUAGAGGAGCCUGUUCUAGAACCGAUAACCCUCGUUAAACCUCACCCUUUCUUGCUUUUUCCGCCUAUAUACCGCCGUCGUCAGCUUACCCUAUGAAGGUUUAACAGUAAGCAAAAUUAGUAAAACUUAAAACGUCAGGUCGAGGUGUAGCGAAUGAAAGGGAAAGAAAUGGGCUACAUUUCCUGGUUACAGGAAAAACGAAAAGUACAAUGAAACUUAUACUGGAAGGAGGAUUUAGUAGUAAGAGGGGAAUAGAGCGCCCCCCUGAAAACGGCCCUUAAGCGCGCACACACCGCCCGUCACUCUCCCCAAGCUAACACAAACCAUUCCUAAAAAACUAGAACAGCAAAGGGGAGGCAAGUCGUAACAUGGUAAGCAUACCGGAAGGUGUGCUUGGAAAAAU